CAACCAUGCGGGUUCCUACUUCACGACAAGACCAGGGUCACCAUGGAGACAUUUCUCAUUGGAUCAGCUUAUUAUGCCGUAGGAAACAUCUGAUUGAAAUGGAACUCACUGACCUAAAGCUCCUAAAAGAAAAUUUUCUAGGUCGGUGACAGACAAGUUGGCUGCUUCAGAAAAGGAUUGCAAGGUCCUCCUCAGAGAAGGUCAUGAGUCUUGCCUCUGCUGGACCAGUCCCUCCCUGCACAG